GUGAGGAAUAUUGCGCAAUGGAGGCAACUCUGACGCAGCCAUGCCGCGUGCAGGAAGAAGGCGCUACGCGUUGUAAACUGCUUUUAACCGGGAAGAAACCCCAGGACGUGUCCUGGGUUGACGGUACCGGAGGAAUAAGCACCGGCUAACUUCGUGCCAGCAGCCGCGGUAAUACGAAGGGUGCAAGCGUUAUCCGGAUUCAUUGGGUUUAAAGUGUGCGUAGGCGGAGCGUUAAGUCAGUGGUGAAAUCCUGCAGCUUAACUGUAGACUUGCCAUUGAUACUGGCGCUCUUGAGUGCGCUUGAAGUGGGCGGAAUGUGCCGUGUAGCGGUGAAAUGCUUAGAUAUGGCACAGAACACCAAUUGCGAAGGCAGCUCACUAAGGCGAUACUGACGCUGAGGCACGAAAGCGUGGGGAUCGAACAGGAUUAGAAACCCGUGUAGUCC
rnacentral:rRNA from 1 species